CAGAGUACGAAGAGAAACACAACAGUAAGGAGAGGACAAGAGGCUGGCAGAGGUUUCACUCCCUGCAGUGCUGAGGCCUGCUGGGUGGCAGAAGCCACAAAGGAAGAGGUCAAACUGAGAGGCUUCCAAUGAUGUAACCAGAGAUGGACUUUUGAGCAAAAACAAGUAAACAAUACAUGAUUUACUGAGAACCCAUAUGUUCGAUAUCAUGACGCUAGCAAGGAAAACAGCAAUUGAUCAUCAGUACCUAAGGCUGCCAUUCUCCAUUGGGCCAGACUCCCACCUGACUUUAGGGAGGGAUUGGAAAGCCAGAAUCUGGCCCCAGGCCAGCAAGAGGCCACAAGCACAGAAGAGCUUCCAGGCAGCAGCGAAGCAGUUCAGUCUCAAAGAAAGCCAGACAGGAGUCCAAAUGCCUAUGUUCCUUCUGGAGUUCACCAUACGACCUCACUAAAAUCCCUUCACCACUGUGGGCUUAUUUUCUCAUCUGGAGGACGAAUGGGCUUCCAAAGUGUCUACUGCCAAGAAGUACAUCCAACUAGACCCUCGGCCCAUGUUUUAAUUUUUACACACUG